GGCCAUCGGUUCAUCAAAGUGGACGCUGGUAAAGUAGGCCGUGGACCAUCCUUCUCUCCCUCUCCUGGUGGCUUUCUUCCUCCAUGAGCGGCGGUGCCGCCGUCCUUGUCUCCAGGGGAUUCUUGUCGCUGCCACCCCCUCACCCAUCCCAGUCACCUGACGAGCGCCGCUGCCCAAGUCACCACCGCCCCCACAGUCACGGCCGCCCCUCCUCAUCAGGGAGAUCCUGGCCAAGCUCGCCGGACGGCCACGCCUCCCAGGUCGUCGUUCCACGACCUCCGCAAGGUCCUCUCAAUUUUCGUUCCCCGCGCGUCCACCGUCCUCGUUUUACCCCAUGAGUUGCUCCCCAACGCCCUCUUCCCCGUCCGCGCUGCUCCGCCGCCGCCGGGAACGUUCGCGCGUCUCCCAGCUCAUCUGCGCUACUCCACCGCCGCCGGGGACGUCCGUAUGCCCAGCUCGUCUGCGGUGCUCCGCCGCCGCCGGGGACGUCCGCGCGUAUUCCAGCUCCAAGGCCGCUGUCGUCCACGCUAGUGACGCCUUCUCGGUACGACUUGAUUUGCAUACUCUCUCGUGCAGACUGAACUGAGAACCAUUUCCUAUUUGCAGGCUUUGAGGCGCCAAACUUGAGUAUGUAAUUGGCAGAUCAGAUGAGGACUUGAAAACACCCUUUGGCAUUGAAAUUCUGGACAAACUAACUCAGACUUGGGUUGUGCCAACAGUAGUUGGGGCUUAGCCUCCAUCCAAGUUGCACGAAGCAAUUCUUGUAAAGGAUGAGAAGAUAUUGGUUGUUGAGAACUGGACAAAAUCCUACAGAAAAAAGAUUGAGGAACCGGCUGUCUUGCAUUUUGCUUGCACUGAAACUGGAGUAGCAAUUUCUGCUCACCCAUUUGUCUUUCCCUUUCCCGCUAGUUGAAUGUAUCAUUUUGUUGUGUGAAUGUUGUGGAGCAGCAAAUAUUCUCAUCAACAUUCUAUGAGGAAACAUCGCAAUGUAACUGAGAUUCCGUAUUGUAUUUUAUUUCAUUGUUUGGAAAUGGGAAAGCUGCAUUGCAUC